UACGUAGGGUGCGAGCGUUGUCCGGAAUUAUUGGGCGUAAAGGGCUCGUAGGCGGCUUGUCGCGUCGGGAGUGAAAACACACAGCUUAACUGUGUGCUUGCUUCCGAUACGGGCAGACUUGAGGUAUGCAGGGGAGAACGGAAUUCCUGGUGUAGCGGUGAAAUGCGCAGAUAUCAGGAAGAACACCAGUGGCGAAAGCAGCUUUCUGGGAAGGUACUGACGCUGAGGCGCGAAAGCGUGGGGAGCGAACAGG
rnacentral:rRNA from 1 species